GUGAGGAAUAUUGGUCAAUGGGCGCAAGCCUGAACCAGCCAUCCCGCGUGAAGGACGACGGCCCUAUGGGUUGUAAACUUCUUUUGUACGGGAAGCACGUGCGCUAUGUAUAGCGUAUUGACGGUACCGUACGAAUAAGCAUCGGCUAACUCCGUGCCAGCAGCCGCGGUAAUACGGAGGAUGCGAGCGUUAUCCGGAUUCAUUGGGUUUAAAGGGUGCGUAGGCGGCCCGGUAAGUCAGCGGUGAAAGUUUGCGGCUCAACCGUAAAAUUGCCGUUGAUACUGUCGGGCUUGAGUUCAGAUGAAGUGGGCGGAAUGAGUAGUGUAGCGGUGAAAUGCUUAGAUAUUACUCAGAACACCGAUUGCGAAGGCAGCCCACUAAACUGCGACUGACGCUGAUGCACGAAAGCGUGGGGAUCGAACAGGAUUAGAAACCCUUGUAGUCC
rnacentral:rRNA from 1 species